CAGUUUCUCGUUGCUCCCUUCAAGGUGGAUGGGAAAGCUCGGCACAGGAUGACGUCUGGCGCGCCAUGGAGUAGCAUCAUUUUUCGGAAGGCCUCCAGGUGGUCAACUGGGUCCGAAGUCCCGUCGUAGCUUUCAAAUUGAGGGAGCUUGAAGUUUGGCGGGAUCGAUUCCUGUAUGAUCGUUUGAGAGAAGGGAGGGUCAGUACAAAUAUCCUCACUGUAAGCGGGGGGAGC
rnacentral:lncRNA from 1 species